rnacentral:rRNA from 1 species
UACGAAGGGGGCUAGCGUUGCUCGGAAUCACUGGGCGUAAAGCGCACGUAGGCGGCUUUUUAAGUCGGGGGUGAAAUCCUGGAGCUCAACUCCAGAACUGCCUUCGAUACUGGCGAUCUUGAGUCCGGGAGAGGUGAGUGGAACUGCGAGUGUAGAGGUGAAAUUCGUAGAUAUUCGCAAGAACACCAGUGGCGAAGGCGGCUCACUGGCCCGGUACUGACGCUGAGGUGCGAAAGCGUGGGGAGCAAACAGG